AUUGAACGCUGGCGGCAUGCUUUACACAUGCAAGUCGAACGGUAACAGGGAGCUUGCUCCGCUGACGAGUGGCGAACGGGUGAGUAAUGCGUCGGAACGUGCCGAGUAGUGGGGGAUAACGCAGCGAAAGUUGUGCUAAUACCGCAUACGUACUGAGGUAGAAAGUGGGGGACCUUCGGGCCUCACGCUAUUCGAGCGGCCGACGUCUGAUUAGCUAGUAGGUGAGGUAAAGGCUCACCUAGGCGACGAUCAGUAGCGGGUGUGAGAGGAUGACCCGCCACACUGGGACGGAGAACAGGCCCAGACUCCUACGGGAGGCAGCAGUGGGGAAUUUUGGACAAUGGGCGAAAGCCUGAUCCAGCCAUGCCGCGUGUCUGAAGAAGGCCUUCGGGUUGUAAAGGACUUUUGUCGGGGAGGAAAUCCCCAGCGCUAAUACCGCUGGGGGAUGACAGUACCUGAAGAAUAAGCACCGGCUAACUACGUGCCAGCAGCCGCCGUAACAC
rnacentral:rRNA from 1 species